UACGAAGGGGGCUAGCGUUGCUCGGAAUGACUGGGCGUAAAGGGCGCGUAGGCGGAUGGCACAGUCAGAUGUGAAAUUCCCGGGCUUAACCUGGGGGCUGCAUUUGAUACGUGUGAUCUAGAGUGAGGAAGAGGGUCGUGGAAUUCCCAGUGUAGAGGUGAAAUUCGUAGAUAUUGGGAAGAACACCGGUGGCGAAGGCGGCGGUCUGGGCCGGCACUGACGCUGAGGAGCGAAAGCGUGGGGAGCGAACAGG
rnacentral:rRNA from 1 species